rnacentral:lncRNA from 1 species
AUGCUGCUUGCUGCAGGUGUUGAGAACAGGGUAGAUGAAGAGAACCUGCCCUUAGAAGGGGAAGAUGGUAACCAGCUGCUUUCCUUCACCAGAAGGGAUGGAGAUGCUGAGGAGGCUGCUUGUGGCAAUCCCUUCUAUGGACUAAGUGGGAAGAUUAUUGGAAUCAGUAAUCCUGAAACAAGUUGAAAGACUGCAUCGACUUCUCUUGUAAGACUCCAAAAUGAAAGGGUUGAGAGUGACAUCCCUGAGGUCUCAGUAGCUGAGCUCUUUAAUGUGGGUAUCUGAAUCCAUCUUAUUUGGGUCUUAGGGCAAGUUUUGGGGUCACCCUCAGCCUGAUGUGCCCUAAUUACCACUUCUGCUUUGCCAUGUGGCAGGUUCUAUGCCAGGGAUGGAGGCUUGUUGUAUUGGGGUGCAGUUGUGGCCAUGUGCAGACCUAGCUGCCAGGGCAGCUGCACAGCUC